UUCUGGGGCUUCCUGCUUACCUUGGUGGGACCAUGGCUAAACCAUGGCUACCAGCCCUGGUCUGGCUAAAAAAGGACAACUUCCCAAACUCCACUCGUGCUAACAAGCUAAACUGGUGCCAGGUGGUUAAACCUGGCUUAGGAGCAGCACUGAGCUGAGUUUUAUUGAUUGAAACUCAAGCACUGCACGCAGGCUCUGCUCUCAGCACAGGAGGAGUCACCCUGCAAAUAAAGAGCUUUUAUUAUUAUUUUUAGCUUGCAUCCCUAAGGAAAUCAAGCUUAUUUGGGUUUGUCCACGUGUGCUGGUUUGCCUAUCCCUGCCUGCUUGUGUCCCUGGGAGAAAGAGGUGUAAAGUGAAAACAUUUCAGCUGGAAAAUUCUCAUCAUUGCAAUACUGACCUUUGCAAAGGGCUUUAAAUCCUUGAGUGGAAGUAGCAGGGCCGCUGCCACACAAGGUUAAAGCAGCCAAGCUGGACCUGCUGGAAUGUUGUGCACGGAUGGGCUGGGUGUGCUCCCUCUGCUUCUGGAAAUUGGGAUUAAUGGGGCACUGCUGAGAAGCUGGUGGUGGAGAGGGACGGCUCCCAAACCCUGGGGAGAAGCUUCACAAGAUAUUUCCUGGGAUCAAGAGAGAAUUGCCACCGUGCGAGAGCUCCCUGCUGUGAACAGACACAGGGAGCACCAGCCAGCCUCGAAAUUCCCAGCUCCUCUUUCACUGCCCAGAUGUGCCCAGAUGUGCUUGGGGAUUGUCUCAGUGUCUUGCUGGUGUUACAGGAGAAUUUGGGCCAGGUUUCACCCUCCACCAGCUGGCCCGAGGUGGUUGGUGAUAUUCAGAUCUGGGCAGAUUGUCCCAAUCCACUGGAAAGCUACUAAAACUCUGGCUUAGGGUGUUGUUUGCAUGUCUGAGCACCAUAAACACUGGACUGCAUUAGUGCUUGCUGAGAAUUAACAUCUGAUCCAGGUGUUUUCCAGGUCCCAGGAACUUUCCCAGCUCAACAGGGACUUUGGAGGGAAGGCAAGAGCUCCACAGCUCCUCCUGUGGCUGCGGGAGAGGAGCUGGCAGCAGGAAAAUGUGAUGGGGAAGGAUGUGCUGAGGCUGCUGGAUACUGUCCUCAUCACCAGUUAUGCUUUUUAAUAAAAUUUUUGGCGAUUUUUCAUCCCCCAGACUCACUCUG